rnacentral:rRNA from 1 species
CCCUUAGAUGUUCUGGGCCGCACGCGCGCUACACUGACGGAGGCAGCGAGCGUGUCCUUCGCCGGCAGGUGCGGGCAAUCUUGCGAGUCUCCGUCGUGCUGGGGAUAGAUGGUUGCAAUUGUCGAUCUUGAACGAGGAAUUCCUAGUAAGCGCAAGUCAUCAGCUCGCGCUGAUUACGUCCCUGCCCUUUGUACACACCGCCCGUCGCUACUACAGAGUGCCCGUGUCCAAGAAACGGUCGGACCUGUGCGGCCUCUCCGGGCGACCGGAGGGCCGUUACGGGGAAGACCCUUUAUUUGACGCGGGUCGAUGAAGUAAAAGUCGUAACA